UCUCCAAGAUCCUCGCUGGUUUGGACAUGGAGUACAAUCCGGUCGUUUCCGCACUUGCUGCUUGUGUGGAACCCAUCACCGUCCAGGAGCUGUACAUCCAGCUACUGAGCU
rnacentral:ncRNA from 1 species